CCUACGGGUUGCAGCAGUGGGGAAUAUUGGACAAUGGGCGAAAGCCUGAUCCAGCAAUGCCGCGUGUGUGAAGAAGGUCUUCGGAUUGUGAAGCACUUUCGACGGGGACGAUAAUGACGGUACCCGUAGAAGAGGCCCCGGCUAACUUCGUGCCAGCAGCCGCGGUAAUACGAAGGGGGCUAGCGUUGCUCGGAAUGACUGGGCGUAAAGGGCGCGUAGGCGGUUUAUGCAGUCAGAUGUGAAAUCCCCCGGGCUUAACCUGGGAACUGCAUUUGAGACGCAUAGACUGGAGGUCGAGAGAGGGUUGUGGAAUUCCCAGUGUAGAGGUGAAAUUCGUAGAUAUUGGGAAGAACACCGGUGGCGAAGGCGGCAACCUGGCUCGAUACUGACGCUGAGGCGCGAAAGCGUGGGGAGCAAACAGGAUUAGAUACCCCUGUAGUC
rnacentral:rRNA from 1 species